UACGAAGGGGGCUAGCGUUGCUCGGAAUCACUGGGCGUAAAGGGUGCGUAGGCGGGUUUUUAAGUCAGGGGUGAAAUCCUGGAGCUCAACUCCAGAACUGCCUUUGAUACUGAAGAUCUUGAGUUCGGGAGAGGUGAGUGGAACUGCGAGUGUAGAGGUGAAAUUCGUAGAUAUCGGGAGGAACACCAGUGGCGAAGGCGGCGAUCUGGGAAGAUACUGACGCUGAGGUGCGAAAGCGUGGGGAGCAAACAGG
rnacentral:rRNA from 1 species